rnacentral:lncRNA from 1 species
GUAGAAUUAUAAUUCAGCUCCAAUAAUAUUCCAAUAUUGGACGAGUCACAACUACAAUAAACAACACCAAAAUCCCUAGAAAAAAAUCAUGAAAUUUAAAUAAAAACUAACCUUACCUCAAAUUAGUAACGGACAAAGUUGCUAAUUGUGACUACAGAAGAAAUAACAUCACAGAUGAAUAAAAGAAACACAAAACCUUUGUCACCGUUCCCAAAAGUAGAAGAAGCAGCUUCACAUUGAAGAUCGACCAUGAUUUCCAUGCACCGAUGUCGAUGCUCCACUAGCAGACAUGCGACAUAUUCUCAUCACUCUUUUUCUGCGAGGGUUUCCUUUGGUUGUGUAGAAAUCAAAAAGCAGAGGUAAGAGAGUGAGUGAAAUGCACUUUAUAAAAUAGAUAUUAGUAAACAGUAAUGGAACUUGUUAAUUAACAGUACUCAAAUUGAUGAGUGUAACGAGAACAGAAAAAUGAACGGUGAACAUGCAUUACCUCUUUUUAUAUUAAGUGCAAAGGAAUGAAAUAUAUUUCUGAUUUCUACAUUUUUAUAUGGAGUCAUUGAAAAGCCAUGUUAAGGUUAUGAGGUUUACUUUCAAAAUUUCCU